UAGGGAAUCUUCCGCAAUGGACGAAAGUCUGACGGAGCAACGCCGCGUGAGUGAUGAAGGCUUUCGGGUCGUAAAACUCUGUUGUUAGGGAAGAACAAGUACGAGAGUAACUGCUCGUACCUUGACGGUACCUAACCAGAAAGCCACGGCUAACUACGUGCCAGCAGCCGCGGUAAUACGUAGGUGGCAAGCGUUAUCCGGAAUUAUUGGGCGUAAAGCGCGCGCAGGCGGUUUCUUAAGUCUGAUGUGAAAGCCCACGGCUCAACCGUGGAGGGUCAUUGGAAACUGGGGAACUUGAGUGCAGAAGAG
rnacentral:rRNA from 1 species